rnacentral:lncRNA from 10 species
ACAGGCUUGAGAUCUGCAGUUUCCUAGCAGAAAAGAAUGUAAGGCCAGUCCUCUGUUCAAUCAGUUGUGGUUGUCUGGGUUGUAAAUUAGUGAUAGUUCCUAUUGUUCCAGAACUUAGGAAGAGUGUAGUUUUUCUUGUAUCCAUAGGAAUUUAGGAAGUUGUUAUGCCAGCUAAAGCCUGAACCCUCAAUCUGUAGGUGUUUUUCUUUUUUUUCCCUUAACCUCAGAGUCUGUCUUCAUUGAUAAAGGUGUUUAUUUUGGUCUCUCUAAUUACAUGGUGACAAUGAAGACUAUACCAAUGCCGGUUAUUUUUAAUAUGAGAAAUUUGAGCAGCUAAUUAGUCAUCUAAGUGAAGAUAUACAGUAGGAAUUUCAAUAUACACAACUAGAAUUCAGAGGAGAGCUGUUGCCUGAAGUUAUCAGUUUGGAAGUCAUUAACACACAGAAGACAAGUGAAGCUGUGGAAUUAGAUGAAACACCACAAGAAACAGUUCUGAUGCAGAAAAAAAGGGGUCCAAGCACAAAACCUGGGCAAUUAUCAGAGAUUUGAGAAGCGAUGAGAAAACAGAGAAUAUGGAGAUGGAGCAAUGGAAGGAGGAAGACAAACGACAAGGGGUUGUAAAAUUCUGGAAAAUAUUAGGAGAAAAUGUUUAAAGACAAAAGAGGACCAACUGUGACAAAACCUCCUGGAAGUUCAAAUAAGUGACUUUAUUGGGUCAAGUAAUAAUAUGAAAUCCAACAUGAAUUUUCUGUGUGGGAGACAGAAAAACCAAGCAAGAAAAUGAGGUAUAGUGGAGGAGAAACAGAAAAAGAAGGAAGAAGCACAAAGAAAGCAUGAAGCAUUUACCGAGGAGUAUGUCUAAUCCACAAGAAUAUUUAUGAAAUAAACAGAGACAUCCCAACC